rnacentral:rRNA from 1 species
GACGAACGCUGGCGGCGUGCUUAACACAUGCAAGUCGAACGGAAAGGCCCGGAUUUUGUUGCUUUCUCGAGUGCCGAACGCGUGAGUAACACGUGAGUAACCUGCCCUUGACUGUGUGAUAACUUCAGGAAACUCGGGCGAAUACCGGGUAGGAUCUCCUGCUGCAUGUGGGGGAUUGGAAAGUGUCGGCGGUUGGGGAUGGAUUCGCUGCUUAUGAGCUUGUUUGUGUGGUAGUUGCGUACCAAGGGUUUGACGGGUAGGCGGCCUGAGAGGGUGACCGGCCACAAUGGGACUGAGAUACGGACCAGAAUCCUACGGGAGGCAGCAGUCGGGAAUAUUGCACAAUGGGCGGACGCGAGAUGCAGAAACGUCGGGUGCGGGAUGCCGGGCUUCGGGUUGUAAACCGAUGUCGCAUGUGCUGAAGCGUGAGUGACGGUAAUGGGUAAAGAAGCAACGGCUAACUACGUG